rnacentral:tRNA from 1 species
GCCGCCGUAGCUCAGUGGUAGAGCGUCGGACUCGUUAUUCGAUGGUCGCAGGUUCGGUCCCUGCCGGCGGCA